rnacentral:rRNA from 1 species
AGUGAACGCUGGCGGCAGGCCUAACACAUGCAAGUCGAACGGCAGCACAGUAAGAGCUUGCUCUUACGGGUGGCGAGUGGUGGACGGGUGAGGAAUACAUCGGAAUCUACUUUUUCGUGGGGGAUAACGUAGGGAAACUUACGCUAAUACCGCAUACGACCUACGGGUGAAAGCAGGGGAUCUUCGGACCUUGCGCGAUUGAAUGAGCCGAUGUCGGAUUAGCUAGUUGGCGGGGUAAAGGCCCACCAAGGCGACGAUCCGUAGCUGGUCUGAGAGGAUGAUCAGCCACACUGGAACUGAGACACGGUCCAGACUCCUACGGGAGGCAGCAGUGGGGAAUAUUGGACAAUGGGCGCAAGCCUGAUCCAGCCAUACCGCGUGGGUGAAGAAGGCCUUCGGGUUGUAAAGCCCUUUUGUUGGGAAAGAAAAGCAGCAGGUUAAUACCCCGCUGUUCUGACGGUACCCAAAGAAUAAGCACCGGCUAACUUCGUG